rnacentral:rRNA from 1 species
GUUUGAUCCUGGCUCAGGACGAACGCUGGCGGCGUGCUUAACACAUGCAAGUCGAACGAUGAAGCCUCUUCGGGGGUGGAUUAGUGGCGAACGGGUGAGUAACACGUGGGCAAUCUGCCCUGCACUUCGGGACAAGCCCUGGAAACGGGGUCUAAUACCGGAUAUGACUCGGGGAGGCAUCUCCUCCGGGUGGAAAGCUUCGGCGGUGCAGGAUGAGCCCGCGGCCUAUCAGCUUGUUGGUGGGGUGAUGGCCUACCAAGGCGACGACGGGUAGCCGGCCUGAGAGGGCGACCGGCCACACUGGGACUGAGACACGGCCCAGACUCCUACGGGAGGCAGCAGUGGGGAAUAUUGCACAAUGGGCGGAAGCCUGAUGCAGCGACGCCGCGUGAGGGAUGACGGCCUUCGGGUUGUAAACCUCUUUCAGCAGGGAAGAAGCCUUAACCGGUGACGGUACCUGCAGAAGAAGCACCGGCUAACUACGUGCCAGCAGCCGCGGUAAUACGUAGGGUGCGAGCGUUGUCCGGAAUUAUUGGGCGUAAAGAGCUCGUAGGCGGCUUGUCGCGUCGGAUGUGAAAGCCCGGGGCUUAACCCUGGGUCUGCAUUCGAUACGGGCAGGCUGGAGUUCGGUAGGGGAGAUCGGAAUUCCUGGUGUAGCGGUGAAAUGCGCAGAUAUCAGGAGGAACACCGGUGGCGAAGGCGGAUCUCUGGGCCGAUACUGACGCUGAGGAGCGAAAGCAUGGGGAGCGAACAGGAUUAGAUACCCUGGUAGUCCAUGCCGUAAACGUUGGGCACUAGGUGUGGGCGACAUUCCACGUUGUCCGUGCCGCAGCUAACGCAUUAAGUGCCCCGCCUGGGGAGUACGGCCGCAAGGCUAAAACUCAAAGGAAUUGACGG